ACGCUCGACACCUACGGGAGCAGCAGUGGGGGAUAUUGCACAAUGGGGGAAACCCUGAUGCAGCAACGCCGCGUGAAGGAAGAAGGUCUUCGGAUUGUAAACUUCUGUCCUCAGGGAAGAUAAUGACGGUACCUGAGGAGGAAGCUCCGGCUAACUACGUGCCACAGCCGCCGGUAAGUACUGAGGCGGGCGGUGGCGAACGGACG
rnacentral:rRNA from 1 species